GUGACUGCAUCACUAAAUGUACAUCAAAAACCUGCACAGUUAAGUAACCGCAUCACUAAAUCUACAUCAAAAACCUGCACAGUUAUGUAACCACAUCACUAAAUCUACAUCAAAAACCUGCACAGUUAUGUAACCACAUCACUAAAUCUACAUCAAAAACCUGCAGUUAUGUAACCACAUCACUAAAUCUACAUCAAAAACCUGCACAGUUAUGUGACUGCAUCACUAAAUGUACAUCAAAAACCUGCACAGUUAAGUAACCGCAUCACUAAAUCUACAUCAAAAACCUGCACAGUUAUGUAACCACAUCACUAAAUCUACAUCAAAAACCUGCACAGUUAUGUAACCACAUCACUAAAUCUACAUCAAAAACCUGCAGUUAUGUAACCACAUCACUAAAUGUACAUCAAAAACCUGCACAGUUAUGUAACCACAUCACUAAAUGUACAUCAAAAACCUGCAGUUAUGUAACCGCAUCACUAAAUCUAUAUCAGAAACCUGCACAGCUAUGUAACUGCAUCACUAAAUGUACAUCAAAAACCUGCACAGUUAUGUAACCACAUCACUAAAUCUACAUCAAAAACCUGCAGUUAUGUAACCACAUCACUAAAUCUACAUAAAAAACCUGCACAGUUAUGUGACUGCAUCACUAAAUGUACAUCAAAAACCUGCAGCUAUGUAACCACAUCACUAAAUGUACAUCAGAAACCUGCAUAGUUAUGUAACCACAUCACUAAAUGUACAUCAAAAACCUGCAGUUAUGUAAAUCGGCGAACUAAAGUAUUCUCGAUCUGUAAAUGAUAACACCUUUAUAUGCUUUUUAAAUAUAUUUCCACAGUUAUGUACAUAUUUUACUUGUUGUGUAUAUUACAAUUAGCACUAAAUUGACCUAGAUUGUUAUUUUUAGUAGAUAUAUGAUAUAUGAUGUAAUAGUUGCAUCAUUGUCUUUCAAGAUUGUAAUACAAAAUUCAUUCCUAUUAUAAAUACACUCACAGUCUUGUGAUUGAAAAAAGCUCUGGUUAGACACAUUUUAUGCAUUUGGAUUUUUUAUACGGGGAACUACGAUUUUGGAAUUACGUGUGUGUGUGUGUGUGUGUGUGUGUGUGUGUGUGUGUAUUAUGUUCGGAUUUAUUGUUCAACUACCGUAAAUUAGUAUUUUGCUAUUGCUAUAAUUUUCUAUCAAUUAUGAAUUAUAGAUAAAUACUAUCAAUUGUUUAAUUGCCUUUUGUUAGUAAAUUCUGUGCGCUAUAUUCAGGGUUUUUUCUUACACUCCUCUUGAGAGGUACAUAGUGAGAUGAUGAACUUUUGUUAGUAAAUUCUGUGCGCUGUAUUAAGAGUUUGUUCUGACACUCAUCUUGAGAGGUACGUUGUGAGAUUGAGAACUUUUAUAUUGGGCGCUACUUCAAGAAUUAGAUUUUUCUAUCUAUGUGUUUGUAUAUACGGAACUCCUUUCGAUUGUCGUCUUAUUUAACCACGGGGGUCCCUAAGCAUAAAGAUCAUAAAGAUGUUCUUGCUAUUAGUGUCGUGGUCUGGUUGUGUUUGUUUAGACGACUUGACAACACUGACAGCGUCUUCGUCUACAGAUGACGCAACACUGGACCUCGCUUUAAUUUACAACGCGGCAGUGGCGAUUGUUGACGAAGAACUGGUGAAACGGCAUCAGCUAUAGAAUGAACACAGGGGGAAUUCUCAUCUCAAAGCCACUACAACCUUAUAUGAGAUGGCAAAUGAAGUGUCGUCCCAGUUUAUUUUUAAUCCUAAAAUUGAUAAUCAAAAUAAAUUUAAUAAGAAAAACCAUCCAGGAAUUCUGGACAGAGGAGAAGACCAAAGUCAAAGCAGUAGUUCCUAGACAGGAAACUAAUGACAAACAAUGUUCAUCUCCGGGAAAUCCGGAUCACAAAUUGGGCAGUAUACCUACGUCUGCCGCCAAAAAGCAAAAAAUAACGAAUGCUGAAACAGGGGAGUGUAAGGAAUAUUUUGACCGGAUUUUACUGGACUUUAAAUUUAAGAUCUCGCUUUACUCUCAAGAAUACACAAACUUGAUAUCGAAAUCUUUAGUAAUAACUGAUGCUCAAAUAAAUGCACCAACAGAAAAAACUCUAUAUAUUGACUAUUUUAACACAUAUUGCGCAUACUUUGAGAGCAGUUAUUAAGGACAGUUCAGUUUUGCGACCACACACCGUUUGCUGUUGAUCAAUACGGGACUUUCGAGAUACGGAUCCACUAUGACUUUUAUCGCGCGUUGAACGUAAUUGUAGGGCAUGUCACUUCCGGAUUACAAUAACAACUAAGUAAACAAACAUGGAAUAUUUCAAUUGCUUUCAAUUUCCUGCAUUUAAAUGCUAUCUUUGAAAGAAAGGAAUCACUACAACCAUUUUAUAGGAAAAUAUAAUUGAUUAAAUUAUGCGAGUCGGCGCGGGAAAUAAAUCUAGGGAAUAUCUUUAGGAUAUCGGUAAAACUUCACGCCUUGCCUCCAGUGGUACGCGUCUUAAUGCGCCUUUUCCCUUUCAUCUAAUUUACACCCAGGUACUAAGCACCAAUAAUGACUUGGAUCGUCAUCGUGGGACUGCAUAUAGCUCUUUAUGAACCGUCUGUUAGCGAAACACCAUAUGUAUCGAUCGAUGUCAACUUUGCCCUACAAUUAGUUAUUAUCACGUGACCGUGGUGUAUAAACGUCAAAUAUAAUCGGUCGUUCCGGCAUAUCCCGAAAGUUCCGUAUUGUGACUAACACAAAUAUAUGCAAUUCAAGGAAUCAAUCAACGGCGAAGCAGCCUGCAUAAAAUUUGAUAUAGGUCCAAUCCCCGUCCACUGCAGGCCUGGGCUACUUACACAGAUUAAUUCUUUGAAUUCAAACUAAUCAUUGGAUGGAUAUGAUCUCUAAGUGUUCUACCUCUGUAUGCGAUAUUCGCUUACACCAAAUCACCAACGAAAUUAAUCAAUAAAUUUCCAGGAAAAGCAGAUAUUACCUAUCACGGUAGCUAUCACGACGAUAGAUUUAUUAUUUUUCUUGGAAAUUUAGUGAAACCAAUGCUCAUCACCCAUGACUGAAAUGCAUAAACAUAAUUUCCAGGCAAAAUAGGCUUUUCUUGGAUACGACGAAAUACAAAGGAAAAAGAUUCAACGUAAUAAAUUAUGGAUUUUUAAACACACAUGAAACCCAUUCCAAUAUUUUAAUUGUAGGAUCCGUCUGAUUUUAAAGGAUUCAUUUGGGACAAAAUCAUUACUCAUUAAAAGAAACGCUGGUGACACUACUGCACUAAAACAAAA